UACGUAGGGGGCAAGCGUUGUCCGGAAUCAUUGGGCGUAAAGAGCGCGUAGGCGGUCCGAUAAGUCCGCUGUGAAAUCUCGAGGCUCAACUUCGAGCUGUCGGUGGAAACUAUCUGGCUAGAGUCCGGAAGAGGAGAAUGGAAUUCCUGGUGUAGCGGUGAAAUGCGCAGAUAUCAGGAAGAACACCAAUGGCGAAGGCAGCUCUCUGGGACGGUACUGACGCUGAACCGCGAAAGCUAGGGAGCGAACGGG
rnacentral:rRNA from 1 species